rnacentral:rRNA from 1 species
GAUGAACGCUGGCGGCGUGCCUAAUACAUGCAAGUCGAGCGAACAGACGAGGAGCUUGCUCCUCUAACGUUAGCGGCGGACGGGUGAGUAACACGUGGAUAACCUACCUAUAAGACUGGGAUAACUUCGGGAAACCGGAGCUAAUACCGGAUAAUAUAUUGAACCGCAUGGUUCAAUAGUGAAAGACGGUUUUGCUGUCACUUAUAGAUGGAUCCGCGCCGCAUUAGCUAGUUGGUAAGGUAACAGCUUACCAAGGCAACGAUGCGUAGCCGACCUGAGAGGGUGAUCGGCCACACGGGAACUGAGACACGGUCCAGGCUCCUACGGGAGGCAGCAGUAGGGAAUCUUCCGCAAUGGGCGAAAGCCUGACGGAGCAACGCCGCGUGAGUGAUGAAGGUCUUCGGAUCGUAAAACUCUGUUAUUAGGGAAGAACAAAUGUGUAAGUAACUAUGCACGUCUUGACGGUACCUAAUCAGAAAGCCACGGCUAACUACGUG